GUGUUGUCUUCAUAUUUUUCAAAUUGGAUAAUUUCUAUUGCUGUACCUUCAAGUUCACUGAUUUUCUUCUAUCAAUUCCAUUCUGCUAGUAAGCCCAUCUGGUGAAUCUUUUGUUUCAGACAUUUUAUUUUUGCUUUCUAGACUUUCCAUUUGCUUCUUUUUCUUUUUUAAAGAUUAAUUAUUUAUUUAUUCGUGGGAGACACACAGAGAGAGGCAAAGACAUAGGCAGGGGGAGAAGCUGGCUCCGUGCGGGGAGCCUGAUGUGAGACUCCAUCCCAGGACCCUGGGAUCAUGAUGUGAGCCAAAGGCAGGCGUCUGCUCAACCACUAAGCCACCGAGGUGUCCCCAUUUGCUCCUUUUUCAAAGUAUCUACUUCUCUGCUAAGAUUUCUUAUCUUUUAAUUUAUGUGAAAAUCCUUUACUAUGUUGGCAUAAAUAGCUACUUUGAAAUAAAAUACUAUAAGGGCUAAUGUCCACAUUUGGGUCAUCUGGUGAUUGACCUUGGAUGAUUUUCUUUUCUCUUGAAAUUGGUCAUGUGUUCCUGUUUGUUGUCUGUUGAGGAUUUUAGAUUUUAUCUGGACCUUGUGAAUGAUAUUAUAUUGGAGAGAUUUUCUGUGUUAUUUUUUAACCAGGCAAUUAGUUUGGUACACUCAGGUUGAAACUCUGUCGUUUGAACAGCAACUGAAAUAAUCAGUUCAGUUAUUUUAUCUGCUUUGAAUCUGUCCUUGCAUGCAUGAUGUAGUGAUCAGCCAGAGAUUUAGGCAGAUUUAUACCAGAAUCUGGGACUCCUCUGGAUCUCUUCUUUUCACAAUUCUCCUUUACUUUCUGCCAGCUGUGUUUGUCCCAAAUACUGUCUUCAGAUUCUUCAAGCCAGAAAGAUUAAUUUUAGAUUGGACAGAGCACUUACCAUAUGACACUGAAAUAUCUUGACCUCAGACUGUGAAAAUGAAAGACAUAUUGUACCAGUCUCUUCUUACAAUUCUUAACUCCUUGGGACGUCUGGUUGGCUCAGCGGUUGAGUGUCUGCCUUCAGCCUAGCGUGUGAUCCUGGAGUCCCAGGAUCGAGUCCUGCAUCGGGCUCCCUGCAUGGAGCCUGCUUCUCCCUCUGCCUGUGUCUCUGCCUCUCUCUCUCUGUGUCUCUCAUGCAUAAAUAAACAAAAUCUUUUAAUGAAAAAAAAUUUUUUUAACUCCUCUUCAGAAUCUGCCUUUGUUCACCUUCGUGCUCUUUACAAAUAUUUGUCUAGAGUUCUUGUUAUCUGUGGGAAUGUCAGGUUCGUUAAGUGCUUACUUGGCUAUACCCUGGAAGUGAACCAAAUUUGCCAACUUCAAUGAAAAACAUUAAUCCAUCAAUUAAAAAACUUCAUGAAGCACAAGCUGGAUACAUACAAAGAAAAUCACACCUAAGCAAACCAGAGUCAAGCUGCUGAAAACCAAAGGUAAAGAGAGAAGUUAAAAAGAGACAAGAUAGAACAUGCAAGAGAACAAUAAUAAAGGCCAAUAUUUGAUUAGAAAAGGUAGAAGCCAGAAGACAAUAGAAAGGUGUCUGUUAAAAAAAAAAAGAAAAAAGAAAGAAAGGUGUCUGUAAAGAAAGGCUGAAAAUGCAACCUGUCAGCCUAGAAUUCUAUGCCCAGUGUAAUCGCUUUCAAAAAUGAAGGUAAGGGGCCCUUGGAUGGUUCAAUUGGUUAAGCAUCUGACUCUAGGUUUUGGCUCAGGUCAUGACCUCAGGGUCGUGGUUUGGCUCAGAUCAUGACUUCAGGGUCAUGAGAUCAAGCCUCGCGUUGGGGUCUAUGCUGGGUGUGUUAAGCCUGCUUAAAAUUCUCUGUCCCUCUCCCUUGCCGCUCACUCAUGUGCAUGCUUUCUCUCUCUAAAAAAGAAAAAAAUGAAGGUAAAAUAAAGACUCUUUUGAUAAAAGUAGAGAAAAUUUGUCUCUAGCAGACAUGCACUAUGCAAUUGUAACAGACUGUUUAUGGGAGGGGAAAUGAUACCAGAUAGAAACUCAGAGCUAAAGGAAGAAAUGAAGAGAACCACAAAGUGUAACUAUGUAGCUAAAUGAAAAGAUUGUGUGUUUUUUUUUCUUUUCUUGAUUUAUUUAAGGAAAUUAGUGGUUAAAGAAAAAAAACUAACAAUAUAUGGUGAGGUUUAUAGCAUAGAAGUAGAAGUAAAACAUAGUGUAUUAACUGCAUAAAGGAUGGGAAAAUGUAGGGGAGUUACAUGUGUGGGAGGUCCUUAUAUCAUGUGUGAAGAGAUAAACAGUAUUUCAAGCUAAAGUGAGUUAAGGGUUAGUUUUAUAAUUUCUAGAGCAAUCACUAAAACAUACAGAGACUGGGGAUGCCUGGGUGGUGUCCAGUUGGUUGAGUGUCUGACUCUUGAUUUUGACUCAGAUCAUAAUCUUGGGGUCGUGGAAUUGAGCCCUGCAUCGACUCUGUUCUGAGUGUGGAGCCUGCUUGGGAUUCACUCUUCCCUCUCUCUCUGUCCCUCUCCCUGUUCACGCACACGUGCUCUCUCUCUCUCAAAAUAAAUGAAUAAAAUAUUUUAAAAACAACAAUAACAUACAGAAAGGGAUAACUAAAAAGCCAAAGAAGGAGAUAAAAUGGAAUUUUUUUUUAUAUAAAAUGGAAUUCUAAAAAAAUAAUAAUAAAUAAAAAAGAACUAAUCCAAAAGGCAGAAAAAGAACACAGGAACAAAGAUUAGAUAGACAAUUAGAAAUUAAAAGCUAUAACUAUCACAUUAAUAAUGAUUUUAAAUGAAAAUGGAUAAAAUGUUACUAAAGGCAGAGUUUGAAAAGUUGGGUAACAGAAAACCAAAUCAUAUUCUGUUUGCAAGAGAUGCAGUUUGAAUGUAAAGACAGGGAUCCUUGGGUGGCGCAGCGGUUUGGCGCCUGCCUUUGGCCCGGGGAGCAAUCCUGGAGACCCGGGAUCGAAUCCCAUGUCGGGCUCCCUGUAUGGAGCCUGCUUCUCCCUCUGCCUGUGUCUCUGC
rnacentral:lncRNA from 1 species